AUUGAACGCUGGCGGAAUGCUUUACACAUGCAAGUCGAACGGCAGCACGGGAGCAAUCCUGGUGGCGAGUGGCGAACGGGUGAGUAAUGUAUCGGAACGUACCUUUCAGUGGGGGAUAACGUAGCGAAAGUUACGCUAAUACCGCAUAUUCUGUGAGCAGGAAAGCAGGGGAUCGCAAGACCUUGCGCUGAUUGAGCGGCCGAUAUCAGAUUAGCUAGUUGGUGAGGUAAAGGCUCACCAAGGCGACGAUCUGUAGCGGGUCUGAGAGGAUGAUCCGCCACACUGGAACUGAGACACGGUCCAGACUCCUACGGGAGGCAGCAGCGGGGAAUUUUGGACAAUGGGCGCAAGCCUGAUCCAGCCAUGCCGCGUGAGUGAAGAAGG
rnacentral:rRNA from 1 species